AUAACUAGCCGAAAGGUUAGCUAAUACCGCAUACGAGUCUCGGGGGCAUCCCUGGGCCUUAAAAGGAGCAAUCCGCUCGAUGACGGGACCGCGUCCAUUAGCUAGAUGGUGGGGUAACGGCCUACCAUGGCACCGAUGGGUAGCUGGUUUGAGAGAGCGACCAGCCACACUGGGACUGAGAAACGGCCCAGACUC
rnacentral:rRNA from 1 species